GAUUGUGAGGUCAGAAAACAUACAAGCCAACGUUUCUCCUUAUACGAAAGUUUAGGAAGUGCUCCUAAAACAGGCUGUGAAAAUGAAGUAACCAAGAGAUAAUAAAAAAGGUUUGUGAAAAGAAAAAUCACUGCAGAUAGUGUCCAGUAAGCCUGCGUCUAUCCGGCCCCUCAGUGUGCGCGGGAAUCGCUGUGUGCACAGGGAAGGCGCCUGGUUCUUAUUCAGCCUACUUGGGAAACUAGGAACCUGCACUGGAACAGGCACACGUCAUCCUGAUUCGACCACUGGAUCCGCCAGAGUCAUUGAACCAUGACGAACUGAAGUUCUAGGAGCUUCGGACACCUACCCAGAGCCAACCAUGGGUGUGGAAGGGUUCUCUCCCUCCAAUCCAGCACCUUUACAGCUCAAAUCGUGCCUGGCGUCUGCAGCCCCGUGUCCCCACACCCUGCCACCACCUCGACAGUGAUGGAAGA
rnacentral:lncRNA from 1 species